UAAAUGAGUAAUAAUAAUUCUUAUACUGUGAGAGAACGCCUAUUAAUAGAUACCAUCCUGUCUUUUUAUAGCUGCACGCCAAUAAAACAAAAAAAAACGAGGAAGAAUUACCAUAUGAUUGUAUACAAAGGAAGCACAAAGGUAUUCGAAGGACAUCAUUGUGUGAGUAUGGGUGAGAGAGGAGUGCAAAUGGAGGGAUCGACUCAAAGCAAACCACGCAUUCAUUGGUUUGGUGAAUGUGUAGAAGCACUUCUAGGUAGAUGCGGAUAGACAUCUGUGGAGUAGACACAGGAAGAGAGAGAGGAGGAGAAAGGGGAGAGAUACGGGACAGACGGGGAAGUGGAUGAGGGUGUCCCCUCCACUGCGUUUCCAAGUAUUCUCUCUCUGUCGAGUGCGCCGUUUCUGCUGUUCCAUCAUGUGGGGUGAAGGCAAGCAAGCGCGCCAGCAACAGCAGCAAUCGACUGACCAGCAACACAAGCGCAGUGCGAACGUGGAAAAUUCCAGUCCUAUUUCGUCUCUACCCUUUUAUGACAGGGGUGGCAGGAUGAAAGGUGGAAGAGGAGAAGCGUUAUUUUUUUAUUGCGCUCUCUCUCUACAGACGCAUUAACUCACGUCACGGUUGAGUAAUGUUGGUUUAUACUGGGUUAUUACAUUCCAUGCCUGCAUGGACUAGCUAUAUAUUUCAUUAUUAUGCUAAAAGGCAUUCUCUCACGAGAUUAUUUUAGGAUGCGAUAUAUCACAUUCUCUACGUGAAUGUUUUAUAAUGAAAUAAAUAUUGGAUGAACAGUUUAGCGACGAAAAAUAUUCUGUCCUGAUAAACAGGGCAAGGAGGAAAGCUCAAUCGAUUUUAACCAGCUUGCAGUCCGAAUCCCGGGUCUCGAGGUGGCGGAAGAGAAGAGGAGAUCAUGAAUUUAUACGACCGAAAUUGUAAUGUUCUUUUACAAUAACUUUGAACAAACUUUGCAAGAUGCAAUCUCGCGAGACUUAAUGAGGCGUCGUCAGACUUGAAGUUUUUUUCAUCACUCCUCUUCCUCGCUGUCCAAGGCUAUUCGUAACUUGAACAAAACUCAUCAGGAGGGAAUCAAGCUUAGAAAGUCGUGCGCAACUCGUGGUGAAAUUGUGCUUGAGGGGAGACAAUAGAGGGGAUUGGUAAAUCACUGUACGUCACAGUACUUUUUAUCUCUUCGUCUCUCAUUCUCAAUCUUCUUUCUCCCCUCUCACUCCCGCCAUUUCCGUACUCAAGUUACGCUGCUACUACUAUAUCGCGGCAAUCUUGCCUGCUCCAUAAAGAGGAUUACCCUUUCUGCGCAAACUAACGUGGCUAUUGCGCAUACUAGUACGAAGUUUCUGUUAACCGUAGGACGGCUAUGUGGCGGGGUGGGAGAUGGGCGGGAUCGAUAGUCAAGUAUUCUGUGAAAUGAAUACCGGUAAUAUAUAUAUAUAUAUAUAUAAAUAUAUCGGGUGCAUAUUUGACCCCUUAAUCAUAUGUUUAUAGCUUUACAACGCAGACCACAACAAUGGGUCGGUACAAUAAUGGGCUUUGCUGAUUAUACUGUUUUCAUUAGCUUCCUGACCUUAACUUCCUGUAUUAACUUCUUAUAUUAACUUACUGAGGCAGCAAAAUAAUAUGCUAAUUUUUUGUUGCCAUAACUUUCAAAACUCAAUAAGUGACACGACUUUUGUAUGUGCAGAUUGCAGACAACAAACGGAGCGUGGCAACAACCCUCAGCCUGGAUUUUAUUUCUCAAUUCUUCUAUUCACUGUGAAUAAUGAGUCAUCGGAGUUUACUCACCUCAUAGACAGUGCUUUCACUUGAUUAACAAGAAUUAUUUUCGAGCUGGAUAACUAUGAUUAUACAAAUAUCCUCGCUCCAGUAAUUGAUGUGAAAAAUCCAUUUUUUCUUCGAUAUAUUAAUGAAUUCGGAUCGGAAUGUUGAGAGAGAAAAGCAAAGAAAAUU
rnacentral:lncRNA from 1 species